GCUUCGGUCCGUGCGAUCUUUCCACCGCGCCGACAUGUGGGGCCUGCGUGCGAGCAGCUCCCGUCCCCAUCCUCGCCCUCGCGGAUUUCUCGGAUCCACGCCGCCAUCACCUCGCGGUGCCAUCAACUUCCUCGGAUCGAUGCUGCUCGGAGCAGCUCCCAUCCCCAAUCCUCGCCGUCGCGGAUUUCUCGAUCCACGCUGCCAUCACCUUGCUCUCCCCGGUGCGAUCUCCAGCCCGCUUUCACCUUGUUUCCCCCGUGCGAUACCUGGCCUGGCAGAAAAGGAAACCGCCAUCUGCGUCCGCUCCCCCGCGAUUCAUCCGUGAGAUCCGCUCCUGCGACCCAUCUCCGCCGAUCACUCUCCAUCCCCUAUCGGGAUCCCACUCCAAUCACGCAGGGCCACCACUGCGCAUGCUGCUACCUAUCCUUCCCAGUCCCCACCCCUAUGGUCGCACACGCCGCCGCUCGCCGUCUCCGCAUCUCGUGUCCCUAUUGGAACACCAUCCCCAUCACUCCUCGCCCAGGUCCAAAUCCCACGGCCUAUCUUGCUGUGGAUCUCGGUGGAACUAAGCAGCGGCAGCAGAGGAUGCACGUGGUGUGUGCUUGGUGGCCUUCAUCUCGCUAUGCUUGUCGAGGUCAGCGGUGAAGCGAAAGCGGCACUUAGGGUUCUUGACGACGCUGCAGAAUCAACACCAGCGAUGGAACCUCAUUGCAGGAGUUCUUGGCCUGCAAGCCCUCGAACCAAAUCUCCAGGUCGGAUUAUUGUUAAUGGGCGUAUUAGAAGCAGUUAAAACUGGUGAAGAUGUUGAGAUCUUGGGUUUGACACAGCUUAUUCCUCGUGCAGAUCAGACACAAGCACACAGCCACACAGAGAAGAAUUUCAAUAAACUUUUCUCUCGGCUAAGGGAGCAACAGGUUUCAGUAUUUUCAAACUUUUCUAUGCCAUCAGCUUGGAGGCCAAUUGGAUGAUUUCUUUUAUCCUUUAUUUGAUUGUAGAUUCUCUUGAUGCAAGAUGAUUCAUAUUUACUCCUUCGUUUUUCCAUGUCCAGCGGUUGUCCUACUCAAUCUAAUGUCUCUUGCAGUCCGGCUCCAUGGAAGGUACCAUGCUCUCUCAGAAUAGUCAUGCUCCAUCCCUCCGAACACCACUUUUAUAUAUAAUAAUGUUGCAGUGAAGCUUUCCUUCUUUUAAAAAACAAUGGUAAAGACUAAUGCUUUAGCACUAAUAGGUUAUGGAGCUGAUUAGUUGAUUGAUCAGUUUGUGUAUCAUUGAUUUAUAUAUAAUAAUCUCUACUUACCCUUAGUUCAUUGGAAUAAAAAAUGCAUGUUUAUUUUUAGUUUUCACACUUCUAAUGGCUACCUCCUGAUUCCAUAACUGUUUUUCUUUCAAACUGAUUAAUUCAUGUACAAGCUAAGAUUACUAUGACUCUUACCAAUGUUUCAGCAUAUAAGCGCUAUUUCUUAGCUUGCCUUAAAAAAAUGAGCUGAUCAUUGUGUAUUGUCUUUUUAGUUCUGGUGUUUCCUAUUUGGUUUUUGUAGGGAAAAAAACCCCCACGGCCUGUGCUGAGGGCCUCCGCUGCCACUGACGUCGGCGCAUGUGUAAGUUUCAACUAUGCAACUGUGGCACCGCCUUCUCCUGAUGAGGUAUGCCAUCUCUUCUCCCUUCCUGCUCUAUGGAAUUGAUGUUCUCUCCAAAGUGGCUCCCUGCUCUCCUUGUGUUAGGUUGUCUUACGGGAAUUGGCUGUCCAAUUCCGAUCUACUAAAUGGAAUGGGUUGCAGAAUACUAUUAUAUUAGAUUAGAUGACAUUGGGCAGGAGUAGUUCUUUGGUUUGCAGCAUUGAUUAUUGUUCGAUUACAAAGAUACACGGUUUGCAUUUUAACUCGGUUUGCAAUUGCUAGGUGUCACAAAAAAAUAUUAAUUGGCAUGCUUUUUGUUCAAAUCAUUUUGAUCCAGUAAAAACUUGGAUCUCAAGAAAUCCACCUGGUGGAAAUACUUUUUGACGACAAGUCUAUUAGGAAUAUGUCCUGAAAAUAGCUUAAGCAUACUCAUGUGCUACUGACCUUCGCUUACAAGUUACAAACACAAAAUCUUCAUCGGUCCAUUCACCAGGAAGUUUCCCAAAGCUCAGAUAUGGGUGGUGCCCAAGCAGUGGAGAAUGACGCCACACCCUAUGCUGCCGAAAUCAAGCAGAAUUUGCUUACUCUUCAGAAGUUGCUAAUGUGCCUGCAAAUGGAUUGGGCCAUAUGUGGAGGUGGCACUCUACCAUGAACCUUCACGGCACUAUUGGUGAUCGAUGUUGUCACCUAUGUUCCUCAACAAGCACCGGAGUAUAUCACAACAAAGAAUCGUUGUUGGCAUCUAUGAAGAAUGGCUUGGUAGUGGAGAUGAGCAAAGGGAAGGAGGUUCUCGAUAAACCCGUUGUUGACAAAAGGCUAAACCAUCAAAAAGGGACAAUGGCUACUUAUAUGUUGCUCUUGCCUGGAUUUCAGUGUGUACACCCAUUGUUCUUGCCCUGCAUAUUUUGCUGCUUCAAUAUGCCCAGCGGGUCGCGAAGUGAUGGAGCAAAGGGAAAGCUACUGUCACCCACUCUGACGUAUCAACAGCUUGGGCAUCGUCAAGGAAACACUAGAGGCCUUAUCUAGAAUGAUACUGUCACCCACAACAUAUUCUAGGUUGGGAAUACUUUGUGUCUAUAAACCACAUUUUUGUUUUUUUAGUAGAGAUCCAGAGGGUAUUAAGGGGACCUUGAGUUUUGUACUAGAAAAUAACCUACUUGUUAUCAACCACUUACAUGUCCCUAGAAAAUUUACCCUUAAGGGCAAAAAUAACAUUCUAUGUGCUUGUGUCUCAUCAAGUGUUUCUUGUAGAUGGUUAGAUUUCAUUGGCCUCA